CAAAAUUUCCUUUGCAAUAAAUACAAUUACACAAUCACAAUCACUUCAUGAUGGAAGCACCUUAGUUUCUAAGGAUGGAAUAUUUGAGUUGGGUUUCUUCAAUCUUGGUGAUUCCACAAACCGCUAUGUUGGAAUUUGGUACAAAAAUAUACCUGUUAGAAAAGUCGUUUGGGUCGCCAACCGUGACAACCCAAUCAAAGACAAUUCUAGCAAGUUGAUCAUAAGUCGAGAUGGAAACCUUGUGCUUCUAAAUCAAAAUCAAACUCUUCUAUGGUCGACAAACACAACAACAAAGGUUUCAAGUCCAAUUGUUCAACUGUUGGACAGUGGAAAUUUAGUACUUAAAAAUAACGGUGAUGAAAAUAAUUUUUUGUGGCAGAGUUUUGAUUAUCCUUGUGAUACAAUAUUAUCGGGAAUGAAGGUUGGAUGGGACAAAAAAAGAGGUCUUGCUAGGAAUAUCACUGCAUGGNNNNNNNNNNNNNNNNNNNNNNNNNNNNNNNUUGCUUCAACUAUGAUACUAACUCCUAAUCCUGAAAGUUUUAUGUUGAAAGGCUCAACAAAAUUCUUCAGGACAGGACCAUGGACCGGUUCACGAUCUAGUGGAGUAACUAGUGGAAUAAUUGGAUUCCAACAAAAUCCACUUUUUGAUUAUGAAUUUGUCAACAAUGAAAAUGAAGUAUAUUAUAAGUUCACACUAAAAAAUAGUUCUGUGGUUUCUAUAAUUGUUUUUAACCAAACACUUUCUGUUCGUCAACGACUCGUUUGGAUUCCAGAAUCCAAAAUAUGGAGUGUUUACCAAACCUUACCGCAAGAUAGUUGUGAUGCAUACAAUGUUUGCGGGGCAAAUGGGCAAUGUGCACUUGAUGCAUCGCCCAUGUGCCAGUGUUUAGAUGGAUUUAAGCCAAAAUCACCACAACAAUGGAAUGGAAUGGACUGGAGACAAGGAUGUGUGCGUAAUGGUAAUUGGAGUUGUGGUGUCAAAAAAAGAGACGGGUUUAAAAAAAUUGUUGGGCUGAAAUUGCCGGAUACUACACAUUCUUGGAUCGAUGAGAAAAUGACACUAGAAGAAUGCAAGGCUAAAUGCUUGGGAAAUUGUUCGUGUAGUGCUUACUCGAGUUUAGACUCAUCUGAAACAGGUAGCGGUUGUUCGAUCUGGUUUGGUGAUCUUAUUGAUUUGAGAGUUUUACAAAGAGGAAACAACGUAUAUGUUCGAGUAGAUGCUUCAGAUAUCGGUAAAGACUUUAAUAGUCCAUUUAUUAUUUUGCCAACAUUAAGAUAUUAGUCAAUUAGAGGAUCAUAUUGUUCUUGAAAUCACAUCACAUAUGCUUUGUUUCUCUCUCAACUGAUAAUUGCAGGUGAUGAAAAUGCACAUAAGAAAAUGGUAGAAUUGGUGGUAUCAAUUACAGUUCCGGUAGUCAUUGUGAUGUUAUUGGCAUUCACCUACAUUUAUAUAAGAAAGGAAAAAUAUAAAGGUAAGUUUCUUCAUUAUACAACCUUUUUUAUUUCUCAAAAUUAUGAUAACUUUCCAAUCAAAUUUACAUUUUGUUUUGAAUGAUUUUUCUUUUUUAUUCAAAGGGAAAAUAAAAAAAAUGACAAGGUUGGAAAAGAAAGAUGAAGAUACGCAUGAAGAUUUUGAGCUUCCUAUCUAUGAUAUAGCUACAAUACUCAAGGCAACAAAUAACUUCUGUUUCAACAAUAAGCUAGGUNNNNNNNNNNNNNNNNNNNNNNNNNNNNNNNNNNNNNNNNNNUUAUAGGGUAUAUUGCUUGAUGGACAAGAAAUUGCUGUCAAAAGACUAUCAAAGAGUUCCGGACAAGGAUCACAAGAGUUUAAAAAUGAAGUUAUAUUAUGUGCUAAACUCCAACAUCGAAAUCUCGUUAAGGUUGUUGGUUGUUGUAUUGAAGGAGAUGAGAAAAUGUUGAUCUAUGAAUACAUGUCGAAUAAUAGUCUCGAUUCAUUUCUUUUAGGUGAGUAGUUUUUUGCAAAUUAAAGUAUAAUAAUAUAAGUUCAAUAUUAUUUGCAAAGAAACGACUAAUAAACUUACUGGACACUCUCUACAGAUCCAAUACGGAGUAAAUUGUUAGAUUGGUCCGCACGCUUUAACAUUAUUUUUGGAAUAGCUCGAGGGCUUCUUUAUCUUCAUCAAGACUCAAGAUUAAGGAUCAUACACAGAGAUCUGAAAGUGAGCAAUAUUUUACUAGACAAUGAUAUGAAUCCAAAAAUUUCGGAUUUUGGCUUGGCUAGAAUGUGUGGAGGUGAUCAAAUUGAAGGGAGAACAAACAAAAUAGUUGGGACAUAGUAAGUAUAUCUUAAAAGAUAACAAACAUGUUGUAUAACUAAUCGAACAUUUGAAUAAUUAUUGGUUGUUUCUUUUUUCAGCGGUUAUAUGGCUCCAGAAUAUGCCAUUGAUGGACUAUUCUCUAUAAAAUCUGAUGUCUUUAGUUUUGGUGUAUUAUUAUUAGAAAUUAUUAGUGGAAAGAAAAAUAGAGCACGAAACUACCGAGAACAUGAUCAUAAUCUUAUUGGCUAUGUAAGUACCUCUAAAUACAAUUAUUCUCUUAUAUUAUAGCAAUAUAUACGACAAAUUAAUCUAUUGAACUUUUGUAGGCAUGGAGAUUGUGGAAAGAGGGAAUUCCACUCAAAUUGAUUGAUGAUAAUAUAAGGGACUCAUGCGUUGAAUUUGAAGCAAUACGUUGUAUUCAAAUUGCUCUACUAUGCUUACAACAUCAUCCCGACGAUAGACCAAACAUGACAUCUGUAGUUGUGAUGUUAAAUAGCGAAAAUACUUUAUCUAUACCUAAGGAGCCUGGUUUCUUGAUUAAGUUCUCUGCUGAAGGAGAACCUUCUUCUGGAAAAGAAACAUCUUCAACAAAUGAAAUAACUAUAUCAAUAUUAGAGGCCAGAUAGAUAAAUUUGUGUAUGUCUUACCAUCACAAUAUUUUUUACUCAAACCCAACGUCUACGUGCCCCUGAAUAAAAAAAAAAUUAUGAAAAAAGAGUUCGCAUUUUAGAAUGUGAACUCUAUUUUCAUGAUAUUUUUCAUCUAGGGGGCGUAGACUUUAAGUUUUAGUAAAAAAUAUUGCCACUCGCUACUUAAAGUGCGAAUCAUGCUCACAUCCUAAAAAAUAAGGGGGUUAGUUUGAUAGUUUUAGGGGCGCCUGAAGUUUUUCGUGGGCAUAAAAGGUAAAACUCUAUUAUAAAUAGAAGGGUGGUUGCACCAAGCAGUUGAUCCCAAUUCACGGUAUUAUUUCUCUACUUCUUGCUCCUCUCUUCCAUCACUUAUUAGACUUUAUUCAUUUAAAAUAAUUAAGACAUUAAACUUAUGUAGUUAAUAAACUCAUUCUAAAAUGAAUCGUUCGAAAAAAAAUCAAAGUUUAAAAAUAAUUCUUAGUCAAAUUUUACUUACCAACUCUGAAUUAUUGGACCUUAUUCCUUUAGGAACUAGAGAAUAAACAUACAAAAAAUUUUAUUUUUUAGUUUACAAUGUUAUCAAUGAAAAUUGAACCUAAGACCUCAUACGUAUUAUUCAAACCACUUGGCAUUAUCACUGGACUAAAUCCAUUGGCUUAAAAGGAAGUCUCAUUUUUAAAUAGAGUAUAUGAAACUCUAAAAAAGUUUAUGAUUAAUAUUAACAAUUAUCUUGGUUUGUUGUUAAAAAAAAACUAUUACUUUUGGUUUGAACCAUCAGCCGACCUUGGUGGGGCUGGGGAGGGCCAUGGUCCAUCCCAAAAAAUGUGAAAUUACUUAAAUACCCUUGGUAGCUUUAUAAAAUUAUACCUAUCUACUAUAUAUAUAUUGGUUGCGGUAUAAAUGUAUUAAACUGUGAGUUUGGCCUAGUGUUCUGUAGCAUGGUUUUAUGGCAAGAGGUCCUGUGUUCAACUCCCUCUUCUCUUAUUUUUUGCAUUUUCUUCUUUUCUUUUAAAAAAUUCAUGUUUAAUACCCAUAAUUUGAACCCAUGGAGAGUUUGAGAACAAAACAAUUCCUCAAACCACUUAACCAAACACAUUUUUUCAUAAAAUGUUAAAUUUCAUGUAUAUAUAUAUACAAAAAAUAGACAAUUUUGUUUUUCUUUUAUAAAAAAAGCAGAACUAUUUUCAAUUNNNNNNNNNNNNNNNNNNNNNNNNNNNNNNNNNNNNNNNNNNNNNNNNNNNNNNNNNNNNNNNNNNNNNNNNNNNNNNNNNNNNNNNNNNNNNNNNNNNNNNNNNNNNNNNNNNNNNNNNNNNNNNNNNNNNNNNNNNNNNNNNNNNNNNNNNNNNNNNNNNNNNNNNNNNNNNNNNNNNNNNNNNNNNNNNNNNNNNNNNNNNNNNNNNNNNNNNNNNNNNNNNNNNNNNNNNAUAAAUAUUAAUUUAAAAUAAAUCAUUGAUAAUUUUUCAAAUUAUUUGGAACACGUCGAAUAUUAUUUAGAGCGUGAAAUUUAAUUUUAUGGUAAAAUUUAUAUUUAUUCUAAAUUAAAUUUUUGUAUAAAAUAUAAUUUUUAUAUUUAAUUUAAAUAUUAUAAUUUUUUUGCGGCCCACCAAAAAAUUAUUUUCCAGUUCCGCCACUGUCUUUGAACAAAUUCCAAAAUUAAUACGGAACUUGGAAUCCAAAGUCAAAAUAAGCAUCUUCUAAGAUCUUUGUGGUGGAACCGUGACAUAACUUUCCGCAAUAAAGCCAUAAAGGUCUUUCUAGAAUUUAAAAUUAAUCCAACUAAGACUAAUCUCUUAUAUAUUUAUUUUAGAAAGACUUGCAUUAUUACAAACAUUUAUAGUGUAUUUGAAUGAGAAAAUAUUUGAGUUGAUGUAGUUUUUUUUAAGAGAAUUCAAAUUUUUCUAUAUAAAAAAAAUAUAAAAUUAAAUGUAAAUCAAUAUAUUUCAUAUCGAGGGAACUUUGUUAAUAGACAAAAAAAAAAAAAUUUCCAUGUUUUUGUCUUAAUAUUAGAAUUGAGUUUCACAUAACUUAACCAUAUAAAAUUGGUUUGUAAAAUUGUACCCCAAAAAAAAAUGGGUUUGUAAAGUAAAAAAAAAAUUCGAAACACUAUUGAGUUUGAUGCUUGAAUAUUAUAAUAGCGAGUAACAUGAUAGCAAAAAUUUGGUAACAAGUGAUCCGAUAACAGGUGACCUAAUAGAUCUUGCAGAAGAAUGAAUUGUACUUGACUCAACCCUACAAAAUAAGUUUAUAAGGUAAAAAAUUAUCUCUUUAUUAUAAACCCAUUUUUAAAUCAUCUCGAGGUUAUCCAAUAACAGAUAUAACCUAAAUGAUCUUGGAGGAAAAUAUGAUACUAUCUUAAAAUUUUGAAUUAAUCUUAAUUCAAUCAUAUAUACUCAUUUUAAAACCAUUUAAACCAUCCCACAUAUGUCCCCAUGAGUUUAACUCAAUUGACAGGAACAUCAUACUAUAUAUACAGGCGUCGGAAUAUGAACCCAGACACUCCAUAUAUUCACCUUUAAAAUGAAUUUUCUAGUCACUAAGCUACUUGACCAAAAAUCAUCCCACAUCUGAUAUUAAAAUCUUAAUAAAUGUAAUUUUUAUUUUUUCCUCGUAAUAAUUUAAGAUAGUAUUAAAACUAUGCCACUAAAAUUAUUUUAUUUUUUACAAAACUGCCCUGCCGUGAUAUAUAUUUCAUCAAAUACUUGAGAGAGUCUCAAGUCUUCAGAUAAGUCACAUCCGUGCAAUAUUUUCUACGUUGACUGACCAAAUCAGCAACCACGCAACCACUUAAGUUCUAUAUUUAUUUCCACACCAAAGAGAAUUUGACAAGUGCGUCAUUGUUGAGACUACAACGUGGAUCAACAUAAAUGUUUCUAUUAUUACUCCUCGGUCUGUGAGUCAGUUGACUGCGUUACGCAUGUCAAUGCAUAAUUUUGGAGAUUAAUAUUUUUAAUUAUAUAAUAGUAAAUAUUAUAAAAAUAUGAUAUUUUGAAAAGACUGAUCGAGAUGAACCUAACAUCUUAUAUGCUAAUAUUUGUUUUUAUUUAUUAGUAAAAAAAUAGAGUCAAAGUAAGAUAUGUGAAUACUAUAUAGGUCAUGCUAAACAGUACUCCCGGGGCACUUGUUAAGCAUACCAAAAAAGGAAAUAAAAAAUGAAAUAAAUAUUAAAAAGACAACUUUUUUAUACUUUUGUUGUAUUGAAUGCACGCAUUUUGAGAUAUAAUUUCUAUUUUUAAAUGCUUAACCAGUGUCCCGGGGGCAGUGUUUAGCAUUUUCCAUACUGUAUAUAGUCAAAAUGACUCACUUAUUUUGGGACGGAGGAAGUAACAAAAUGUUCCAAAAUCUCCAUUUAUAUAUGAAUAUUUCUUCAAUUAAUUAUAACCCAUAAAUCAAUGCAAAAUGAACAUUCUUCCAACCAUACUCGUUAUUGCUAACAUACUAUUUUUCUUCUCCAAAAUUUCCUUUGCAAUAGAUACAAUUACACAAUCACUUCCCGAUGGAAGCACCUUAGUUUCUAAGGAUGGAAUAUUUGAGUUGGGUUUCUUCAAUCUUGGUGAUUCCACAAACCGCUAUGUUGGAAUUUGGUACAAAAAUAUACCUGUUAGAAGAGUCGUUUGGGUCGCCAACCGUGACAACCCAAUCAAAGACAAUUCUAGCAAGUUAAUCAUAAGUCGAGAUGGAAACCUCUUGCUUCUAAAUCAAAAUCAAACUCUUCUAUGGGCGACAAACACAACAACAAAGGUUUCAAGUCCAAUUGUUCAACUCUUGGACAGUGGAAAUUU
rnacentral:lncRNA from 1 species